AGCUCUGUAAGCGUAUACCAAAGUUGUUGCAGUUAAAACGCUCGUAGUCGGAUUUUGGUAGUUCCGGGAGUGUGCGCCUCGGGCGCGUGCUUCGCAGGGGCUGCUUUUGUGGGUAUGCAAAGGAUGACGCGACUUUAUUGUUGAACGUCCUGCGCAACCACCGUUUACUGUGAAAAAAUUAAAGUGUUCAAAGCAGGCAUUUGUCGUGAAUACAUUAGCAUGGAAUAAUUGAAUAGGACUUGGUCUUAUUUUGUUGGUUUGUUAUGGCCGAGUAAUGAUUAAAAGGGACAGUUGGGGGCAUUUGUAUUCCGGCGCUAGAGGUGAAAUUCUUGGAUUGCCGGAAGACAAACCGCUGCGAAAGCGUCUGCCAAGGAUGUUUUCAUUGAUCAAGAACGAAAGU
rnacentral:rRNA from 1 species